AAGGCGAAUUUAUUAUAGGUGACAGCAACCACAUACACUAUAAGUAAAACCCUACAUGUAUUUGUUGUUGCAUUUGGUCCAAGCAUCACGUCAAAAUCAGCUGUUCAUUUUUAGUGUGAUUUGCUUGUGAAACGUACGCUGGAAAUAGUCACAAAAUAAAAAGUCGCCACAUUUCCUACAGUUUAUUGAAGAUUUCGUAUGUAGCAUAUAUGCAGUGUGGAUUUAUUAUGUGUGAAUUAAUUUUUCAAGGGCAUGCAUAAGGUGAAAUUGAAUGUAGAGAGUGAAGUUGGGGCGCGAAAAUGUUUAAAACAGAGAAACAUAACGCAAAAAACUUCGAAACAAGGGCAAAAUUAAAGUCUCAUUGCGUGCAGAAAGUAAUGCAAUUCUAUAUCCUCAUAGAAUAUUGAUGGCUAUUAGAAAUCCACCUUGGUUGCUAAUGACUACGAUGACUUCAUACUAAAUACUGUUGAGAUGCGCAUACCAUAUUGCAUAAAAAUGUUUGCUUCAUGUUUUUUGUGGAAAAUCGAUCGCUAUGAUUUACAUUUAAAACUGAACAGUGAAAAAUUCUGGAUAACAAAUUUGUAACAUGCUUGUGAAUUCAUUUUAUGUAUAUUAAUUCAACUUUAUUGAUGUUUAUAGCCUGUAUUUAGAACAUAAGU